rnacentral:rRNA from 1 species
AGUGAACGCUGGCGGCAGGCCUAACACAUGCAAGUCGAGCGGCAGCACAGUAAGAGCUUGCUCUUACGGGUGGCGAGUGGCGGACGGGUGAGGAAUACAUCGGAAUCUACUUUUUCGUGGGGGAUAACGUAGGGAAACUUACGCUAAUACCGCAUACGACCUACGGGUGAAAGCAGGGGAUCUUCGGACCUUGCGCGAUUGAAUGAGCCGAUGUCGGAUUAGCUAGUUGGCGGGGUAAAGGCCCACCAAGGCGACGAUCCGUAGCUGGUCUGAGAGGAUGAUCAGCCACACUGGAACUGAGACACGGUCCAGACUCCUACGGGAGGCAGCAGUGGGGAAUAUUGGACAAUGGGCGCAAGCCUGAUCCAGCCAUACCGCGUGGGUGAAGAAGGCCUUCGGGUUGUAAAGCCCUUUUGUUGGGAAAGAAAAGCAGCAGGUUAAUACCCCGCUGUUCUGACGGUACCCAAAGAAUAAGCACCGGCUAACUUCGUG